GACGGAGGAUGCAAGUGUUAUCCGGAAUCACUGGGCGUAAAGCGUCUGUAGGUGGUUGAAUAAGUCAACUGUUAAAUCUUGGGGCUCAACCUCAAAAUCGCAGUCGAAACUAUUCGACUAGAGUAUAGUAGGGGUAAAGGGAAUUUCCAGUGGAGCGGUGAAAUGCGUAGAGAUUGGAAAGAACACCGAUGGCGAAGGCACUUUACUGGGCUAUUACUAACACUCAGAGACGAAAGCUAGGGUAGCAAAUGGG
rnacentral:rRNA from 1 species